rnacentral:rRNA from 1 species
GACGUAGGGCGCGAGCGUUGUCCGGAAUUAUUGGGCGUAAAGAGCUCGUAGGUGGCUUGUUGCGUCUGCCGUGAAAGCCCGUGGCUUAACUACGGGUCUGCGGUGGAUACGGGCAGGCUAGAGGCUGGUAGGGGCAAGCGGAAUUCCUGGUGUAGCGGUGAAAUGCGCAGAUAUCAGGAGGAACACCGGUGGCGAAGGCGGAUCUCUGGGCCAUUACUGACGCUGAGGAGCGAAAGCGUGGGGAGCGAACAGG